rnacentral:rRNA from 1 species
GUAGGGAAUAUUGGACAAUGGGCGAAAGCCUGAUCCAGCAAUGCCGCGUGAGUGAUGAAGGCCUUAGGGUUGUAAAGCUCUUUUACCAGGGAUGAUAAUGACAGUACCUGGAGAAUAAGCUCCGGCUAACUCCGUGCCAGCAGCCGCGGUAAUACGGAGGGAGCUAGCGUUGUUCGGAAUUACUGGGCGUAAAGCGCGCGUAGGCGGCGAUUUAAGUCAGAGGUGAAAGCCCGGGGCUCAACCCCGGAAUAGCCUUUGAGACUGGAUUGCUAGAAUCCGGGAGAGGUGAGUGGAAUUCCGAGUGUAGAGGUGAAAUUCGUAGAUAUUCGGAAGAACACCAGUGGCGAAGGCGGCUCACUGGACAGGUAUUGACGCUGAGGUGCGAAAGCGUGGGGAGCAAACAGGAUUAGAAACCCGGGUAGUCC